rnacentral:rRNA from 1 species
GAUGAACGCUGGCGGCGUGCUUAAUACAUGCAAGUCGAACGAUGAAGCCCAGCUUGCUGGGUGGAUUAGUGGCGAACGGGUGAGUAACACGUGAGUAACCUGCCCUUGACUCUGGGAUAAGCCUGGUCAACUGGGUCUAAUACUGGAUAUGACUUCUCAUCGCAUGGUGGGGGGUGGAAAGAUUUAUUGGUCUUGGAUGGACUCGCGGCCUAUCAGCUUGUUGGUGAGGUAAUGGCUCACCAAGGCGACGACGGGUAGCCGGCCUGAGAGGGUGACCGGCCACACUGGGACUGAGACACGGCCCAGACUCCUACGGGAGGCAGCAGUGGGGAAUAUUGCACAAUGGGCGCAAGCCUGAUGCAGCGACGCCGCGUGAGGGAUGACGGCCUUCGGGUUGUAAACCUCUUUCAGUAGGGAAGAAGCGAGAGUGACGGUACCUGCAGAAGAAGCGCCGGCUAACUACGUG